rnacentral:lncRNA from 1 species
ACCCGCAACAAUUACCUAUGAGUUCUACAUAAUACAUAAUACUUUAGUCCGGUCUUCUAAUUUUAUUGUUUAAUCUAAGCUUAUGAAGCAUAAGUUUACAACACUAUUGUUGUCCUAGAACAAAUAUUAGAGCACACAUUCUCCCAUAACCAACAUAUAGAAAUCACAUUAAUACAUGAUGUUCCUACUGUGAUGAUAGUAGUAAGACUAGAAUGUUACUACUUCCUACUAUCAUAAAAUUAAUUACACUAGUAUAUUACUGCAGUAUAAAAAGGAUGAAAAGAGAGCACAGUAUAAGAUAAAAACCACUAGGAAUAACACACAACACAAACACAAAAAGCGCCAUAGCAAGACUGAAAAUCCCCAACGCAUAUCCUUGAUUCAAACACACUUUUAGAUUCCCAAUCCAACUCAAUUUAAUAAUAAAUCCCUCAUCGAUCAGCAAAAACGAUCUAGACGAAAUAUCCUAUCAAUAACAUCAAUUGCAACUCCAGAGAGGGAAGAAAAAAAUAGAGAGCGAGGAAGAGGGAAGGAGAUGAACAAGAUUCUCUCAUUCCCUUUUCUUCUCUUUUUCUUUGGGUGAGAAAAGCCCCUAGGAUUAGAACUCGCAAAGUUACAUAUUAGAUUAAUAUUAGAUAAAAUAAAAAUCCUUAGCGACAGAAACAAAGGGGCAAGCGAUUGGGGAAGAUAGAGAUAGAAGAUUUACCUUGAGGCCGUCGUUCCCUUCGAUUCAAUCGUCUCGGUGAGGCGUUGUCUUGGUGGAACGGAGGCCUCUUCGUCAAGGCCGUCGUACCC